GGCUCGGUAGCUCAGUUGGUAGAGCAGCGGACUGAAAAUCCGUGUGUCGGCGGUUCAAUUCCGUCCCGAGCCACCA
rnacentral:tRNA from 1 species